CCUACGGGAGGCAGCAGUGAGGAAUAUUGGUCAAUGGACGAGAGACUGAACCAGCCAAGUAGCGUGAAGGAUGAAUGCCCUAUGGAUUGUAAACUUCUUUUAUAAGGGAAUAAAACGAGGCACGUGUGCCUUUUUGCGUGUACUUUAUGAAUAAGGAUCGGCUAACUCCGUGCCAGCAGCCGCGGUAAUACGGAGGAUCCGAGCGUUAUCCGGAUUUAUUGGGUUUAAAGGGAGGGUAGGUGGGUUGUUAAGUCAGUUGUGAAAGUUUGCGGCUCAACCGUAAGAUUGCAAUUGAUACUGGCAGUCUUGAGUACAGUUGAGGUAGGCGGAAUGCGUGGUGUAGCGGUGAAAUGCUUAGAUAUCGCGAAGAACCCCGAUUGCGAAGGCAGCUUGCUAAACUGAGACUGACAUUGAUGCACGAAAGUGUGGGUAUCAAACAGGAUUAGAUACCCGGGUAGUC
rnacentral:rRNA from 1 species